UUAACUCAAAUUUGUAUGCAGUUGGAACAACGCCCCUAGCGGCAAACGUAGGCAAAGUUUCCAACUCCAUACAAACUUAAGUUA
rnacentral:pre_miRNA from 1 species